AACGAACGUUGGCGGCGUGGAUUAGGCAUGCAAGUCGUACGCGAAAGAGGGGGCAACUCCUCGAGUAAAGUGGCGAACGGGUGAGUAACGCGUAGGAAACCUGCCUUCGAGAGUGGGGAUAACACUCCUAACGGGGUGCUAAUACCGAAUGACACUGCGGGAUUGCAUGGUUCUGCAGUCAAAGGUGGCCUCUGCUUGCAAGCUACCACUCAAAGAUGGUCCUGCGCCCAUUAGCUAGUUGGCGGGUAACGGCCACCAAGGCGACGAUGGGUAGCCGAUCUGGAGAGGAUGACCGGCCANACUGGGACUGAGAUACGGCCCAGACUCCUACGGGAGGCAGCAGUGGGGAAUAUUGGACAAUGGGCGCAAGCC
rnacentral:rRNA from 1 species